CCUGGUGGAUCGCAGCAGCCAUCACUCCCGGGACUCUCUGCAGGAUCGCAGCAGCUCCCAGUUCCCGGCUGGAUCGUAGCAGUAGCCCCCUGGACUCCCUGCUGGAUCGCAGUCUCCUCCUUUCCCGGCUGGAUCGCAGCAGCACCAAUCCCUUGCCGCCACUGGAUCUUCACAGCCGGCCUCCAGAAGGGUUCCGUCUUCACCGCCGGCCUCCAGUGACGUCCGCACAUACCCAACCCCCGGACCGUCCGCCCGAAGUCUACCACUCAGCCCUCUUCCUUUGUUCAUUGUCGGAUCAUUGUGUUCCUGUCAUAUGUGUGUGUGUGUGUCGCCGUUAGGUGCAUUUUUCGUUGUACCUUGUUCCCGUCAUUUCUAUGCAUUCUAACAGUGAUUUUAAUGCAUUACAAAAUGGUUAUAAUGUAUGUAUAACUAUGAGAAUUGUAAUACAAUGUCAGAGUGACCAGCAAUUAUUAAGUAUUAUGAUACUUGACAUUCUAAAAUGCUUUAUAAUGUGUUAUGAUUGUUAUAAAGCAUUAUGAAUAUUUAUGAGUGCUUAUAACUAUAAUUAUACAUUGCUAUAAACACAUUAUAAGUAUGUUUAUAAUGCAUUAUAGACAUGGGCGGAGUAUCUAUAAAUGGUCUCCCUACUGAAACUGUUUACGGUUGAGGAACAUUUUGCAUACAUUUAAGACACGCUGACUGAGAGAUUCUGUCAAAUGUCUAAAGUUAAAAUUUUAUUUAAUCAGUGCAUUCAUUUUAAUAAUUAAAUUUUAAUAAAAUUUUAUUUAUAUAGCAGCAAUUCAUAACAGAAGUAAUCUCAUUGCACUUUACUAAUAACACAUCAUAAACAACACAGCCAUCAUAUAUAGCAUUCAACCACAUGCUUUUGUCCACAUUGUGUUCAUAAUUAUAAUUCAUAAUGUGCUUGUAGCGGGCAUAUAAUGCAUUAAGAACACUCUUCAAGUGUUACCAUAGUCUUGAGUCUGUGAUUACUGAUGGAUUGUGUGUGUGUGUGUGUGAGUGAGUCCAUUUCCAGAAAACAAUACACUCCCCCUCAGUCUUUCUGUUAGACAACAAUACACUUAAAGUCCCAGUCAGUCCGAGGAGAGAGAGGAGACGCUGCUCUGCUUUAAUGUCACUGUAAAGAGAUCAAGACUGCGCACACACAUACACAGAGGGGGAAGUCUGUGUGUGUUAGUGUGGAAGAAUGAAGAAAAAGAAAGUGAAGGACAGAGAGGGCAAGAGUGGCAGAGAGAGUCCUCAAGUCUCCAAACGUAUUUUAUACAAUUAGAACUUACAGUAAGCCUUUGUCAAAAACAUACUGGAAAUCUUAUUUCUAUACUUUUCAUUUUUCAAUUACUGAUGGACGUUUCCCCUCUCUGUCUAUUAUUCCAUCUAAACUUCUGUCAUGUAGCUCAGAUUUCUACCUGUUACUCAUCCCUCACUCCAGCUCAUUCACUCUUUUCUACUCACAUGGUCAGACAUGUGGCAGAGCUGUGGCCACCCUUUACUUAAUGCAGCUGCACUUAAAGCUCUGUCAAUUGAUAUUUUUGAUAGUAAUAUUAAAUCUAAUCUCUGAGUGUAAUGUGAAAGUGUUGUUUGUAGCGCCAAACCACUGGGAAUUAACAGCCCACUCUGCAGCCCCAUGUAGCUUUUACUCAACUAUCAUACAAAGGUGGUUGAGUCUCUCAGCUCUCAACAGCUGUUGUAGGCCAUUUUCUGCAAACGAGCUAACCUCGGCUUCACACCAAAUGCGCAAGUGAGCAUAGUUUGAGCGAGGUCAAGUGUAUGAUGAAGGGCAUUGCAUAAAGCAUUACCCUCCUACAACUCAGCUAAAUGGGAUGCUACAGACGACAUCAGAGUCUAAACAAUAUUCGUUUUCUAACCUGGUAUCCUCUCUGAAGUCCAGGUAGAAUUGGAGAGUAGAGAUGUAUAGCUCUGGGAACUCAUAUAAAAUUAACUUCUUCUCAAUUCUCAAUUAAAAUAUUAGUGUUGUCAUAACUUCCACCUCCUGUAAAGCUGGAAUGCCAUUGGACACGUGCCAUAGAGGUCAGAGUAUUUGGGCUUGAGUUAAUUUUACUUUAACUGUACUCGCCAAAACCUGGCAGAAAAUUUGGAAGCAUAUACUAUGAAAACAGCAGUGGCCCUAAAACAGAGCUUUGAGGUACCCCACAUAAAAUAACAUGACAAUCAGAGAAAGAGUUGUUGUAAAUAAAAGUGUGUCCUGCCAAGCAAGUAUGAAUGAAACUAUUGCCUGUUUUUAUUUUUUUAGGGGUGGGGUUGCCUUUAUCUGACAGGAACAGCUGAAGAGAGACAGGAAACACUGGAGAGAGAGAGAGGGGAAGACACGCAGCAAAGGGCCACGGGCCAGACCCGAACCUGGGCCGCUGCGGCAAGGACCCAGCCCUGUACACGGGCACGCACUCCACCAGUUUCUGCUAGAGGGAAAUAUGAGCAGAAAUCUUUAAGAGACAGAGAGGGUCCACAUAGAUCUCCAGGGCCGCUUCUCAACCAUUUCUGGACGGCCGUGAUACACUACGCUCUGCUCAGCGCUCCGCACAGCUUGUUUAUUCAGCCAAUCCCUGUGUUAUUUCCUCACUAUCGCCGACUCCAGUAACACGAAGAUGUUGAAGGUAUGAGCAAAGCAAGCAAAUUGUUCGGUUGUUAGCUGCAAGAAACAGCAGAAAAGCCUUUAUGUACUCCCAUCAUCUGAGGAUAUGAAGACCCAGUGGAUUAACUUUAUUUUUGAUGGAAAUGUGCCCACAAAAAUUGGAAAACUCUUUCUCAACGACGGCCAGUACAAAGCAGGAUUCGCUUCAAAACUCAAGCUCAAGGACGGAUUGAUAACAGCUGUCCGUGACCCAACUUUGAACGCGGAAGCUACCGGCCAGCCCUGACUUCGGCCUCUGUUCCCACCACCCUGCUUGGAUCAGCCUCAGUGGCAAUUCUAGAAUCUGUUGGGGCCCUAGGCAACCAGCGUUCAUCACCAUUGUUAUUUCUGACACCAAUGAAAAAUAGACCCAACAAUUCCCACCAAGAGAAAGCACUUGGCGACAGUGGCAAGGAAAAACUUUGAGAGCAAGAGAGAGAGGCUGCACACCCUGUGCAUCCGGCUUCUGUUCAGCCAAGACACACACUCAGAAGAACUUCUCACGACAGAACGAUAGCAAUAGUAGUAGCCAGUCCAAUGAUAAUAUUAUUGAAAAUAGUACAUGCCUCCAUGUAAUCCAUGUAAAAUUAUUAUUCAGUAUUGUAAAUGUAUAGUUGUAGGUGUUUUUAUAUUUGUCUCACUUAACAGGUUAAUUUUGAAGAUUGUUUUAAUGCAUUCAUUUCAUAUAAGCUGCUGGAAUAUUCAGGGUCUCCACUCCUCAACCACUGAGCUGAAGAGUGGAAACCCUGAAUUCAUUAAAUCAAAGAUGUUGAUGUAAUUGUAUUAACAGGAAAAUGGUGUCAAAAUGAUUUGCCCACUCACUGUCCUCCAUGAUAUAAUGCAGUCAUGGUACCCUCUAUAAAAUUAAAAAACAUACUGUACGCAAGGGCAGAACAUCGGGGGGAUCUUGGUGUGGUAUAAAAGGAGAUCUUUGGAGAUCUCACCAGUAAAACACGGUAAAUCACACAUUUGGUUAAGAUUAGAUAAAACUCUGGGAUUAACUGAUAGAGAUCUAUAUCUCUGUGCUAUUUACCCCCCCCCCCAAUUUGUAAAAGACAUUUUUGAAACUCUCCAUGUGAAUUCGCCCAUUUCCAGGCCCAGGGAAACAUGCUUCCAACUGGAGAUCUGAACAGAUGAAUUGAACCUAAUGUCAUUGACCCACAGGGCAACAACCAUGUUUGGUUAGCCUCCCCUGUUUACCACACCAAUCAUCAUGCAUCAGAACAACCUGGACUCUGAAAAAAAUCAAAGUGGCAGGGAGGUAGUGCAUCUCUGUCAGGCCAUAAGCCUGUACAUAGUUAAUGGUAGGUUCAGAGGGGACUCUUUAAGGGGAUUCACGUACUCCUCCACUCUUGGGUCUAGUGUAGUGCAAUCACUGACAUGGACCUCUCCACUAUCAGUGCAUUCACUGUCAGACUGCAAUCCCCCCUUUCAGACCACAACCAAAUAAAUGUGUUCUUUAAACUCUCAGGCCAAAUGAGU